ACACAGGUUUUAUUCAAAACCAUAGGAAUAAUACCCAUCUAGUUGUA
rfam:Ictidomys tridecemlineatus contig084022, whole genome shotgun sequence.